AUCUGGGUGAGCAGGCAGCGGACAAGUGACGUCUCCCGGCCUGCUGCCCCAGGCCCCCCACAAGCCGCGUUCUGGGGCCGUGGCCUCCCCAGAGCAGAUCAGUGGGGGCUGUGUGAGCAACACUGGGGGCAGCUGGGCAGCGCCUCCCUGGAGGCCCCUCUGAAAUCCCGCCGGAUGCUGGCAGGCUCCAAGGGGGCUGGACACCAUCUUCUCAGGGCCCUGCAGGGAAGCGUGGAAAGGCGGCACAGGGCUGGACCCAGAGGAGCUCUCAGAUGCUGGACUGGACUGUUUCAGGGGUCAUCUAGCCCAUUCCCCGCCUCCAGGCGAGGAUUUGCUUGAGCCUGGAAAGAUGAAGGAUCCUCCCAGUGCCGUCAAGCCCCGGAUUCCACCUCCCUGUAGGUGGACUGCCAGCGCAGGCCCUGACAACGCAGAGAAAGACACAGGACCCAGCUGGGCCAGUGACAGCAGGAGCUCCUGGUGCCACAGGAAUGGAAACUGUGACUCAUAAUAGCCAGCUAGUCAAUGAUUAUUCCCCCCAGUCCCUGGCGCAUCAAGAUUUGCUGUGCUCAAUGGUGCCCAGACUGGAGUACAGUGGCGUGAUCUCGGCUCGCUACAACCUCCACCUCCCAGCCACCUGCCUUGGCCUCCCAAAGUGCCGAGAUUGCAGCUUCUGCCUGGCUGCCACCCCGUCUGGGAAGUGAGGAGCGUCUCUGCCUGGCCGCCCAUCGUCUGGGAUGUGAGGAGCCCCUCUGCCUGGCUGCCCAGUCUGGGAAGUGAGGAGCGUCUCUGCCCAGCCGCCAUCCCAUCUAGGAAGGGAGGAGCGUCUCUGCCCAGCUGCCCAUCGUCUGAGAUGUGGGGAGCGCCUCUGCCCCGCCGCCCCGUCUGGGAUGUGAGGAGCGCCUCUGCCCGGCCGCGACCCUGUCUGGGAGGUGAGGAGCGUCUCCACCUGGCAGCCACCCCGUCCGGGAGGGAGGUGGGGGUCAGCCCCCACCAGGCCAGCCGCCCCGUCCGGGAGGGAGGUGGGGGGGUCAGCCCCCCGCCCGGCCAGCCGCCCCGUCUGGGAGGGAGGUGGGGGGGUCAGCCCCCCACCCGGCCAGCCGCCCCGUCCGGGAGGUGAGGGGCGCCUCUGCCCGGCCGCCCCUACUGGGAAGUGAGGAGCCCCUCUGCCCGGCCAGCCGCCCUGUCCGGGAGGGAGGUUGGGGUGGGGGGGUCAGCCCUCCGCCCGGCCUGCCGCCCCGUCCGGGAGGUGAGGGGCGCCUCUGCCCGGCCACCCCUACUGGGAAGUGAGGAGCCCCUCUGCCCGGCCACCACCCCGUCUGGGAGGUGUGCCCAGCGGCUCAUUGAGAACGGGCCAUGAUGACAGUGGCGGUUUUGUGGAAUAGAAAGGGGGAAAAGGUGGGGAAAAGAUUGAGAAAUCAGAUGGUUGCCGUGUCUGUCUAGAAAGAAGUAGACAUGGGAGACUUUUCAUUUUGUUCUGUACUAAGAAAAAUUCUUCUGCCUUGGGAUCCUGUUGAUCUGUGACCUUACCCCCAACCCUGUGCUCUCUGAAACAUGUGCUGUAUCCACUCAGGGUUGAAUGGAUUAAGGGCGGUGCAAGAUGUGCUUUGUUAGACAGAUGCUUGAAGGCAGCAUGCUCGUUAAGAGUCAUCACCACUCCCUAAUCUCAAGUACCCAGGGACACAAACACUGCGGAAGGCCGCAGGGUCCUCUGCCUAGGAAAACCAGAGACCUUUGUUCACUUGUUUAUCUGCUGACCUUCCCUCCACUAUUGUCCUAUGACCCUGCCAAAUCCCCCUCUGCGAGAAACACCCAAGAAUGAUCAAUAAAAAAUG
ensembl:lncRNA LINC02043 long intergenic non-protein coding RNA 2043